rnacentral:lncRNA from 1 species
GUGAGAAAGGAUUCAUUUCGCAACACCUACGGCUUCCACUAGAUGCAACGAUCUUUAUAAAGUUGUUUGAAGCGUCUAUGAUAAACAGAGAGCAAAUUAGAAUGCAAGGAAGUUGACAUGUCAUCACUUCAUUUUUUUGCGCCUGCGCAUAAAUCUGAGAAGCGUGAGUUUGUCAUUAAUUGUUUAUCAAGACAUAGGAUAGGUUGUGUGAAAAUAUUACUGAUGUUUAACGUUAAAAAUGGACCAAAAGAUUAAUGCUAAACAAGGUUUGACAUGUUUGAACGAACGUAAAUAGAUUAUUUACUAUUUUUUUUUAGCUUUUCGGCGUGAUUUUACAACCCCCCCCCACCACGUUUUGUGGGAGCAUAAUGAACGCUAACUACUUGGUGUUAUUUGGACAUAAAUUAUGAACUUUGUCAAAAGAAACCACAUUUGUUCUGGACCUGGGAUUCCUGGCAGUGCCUUCUGAUGGAGAUAAUCAAAGGUGCUGUCAGGAGAAACACUUUCACAUCCAAGGCUACAGAUGGAGAGACGGAGAAGUUCAUCAUAAGGUGGCUGCUGCUUGCACCAGGCAGAGGCGGAGGCAGAAAGGAGAGGACCGAACACAGCAAGGAAAGGGCGGAUAGACCCCUUUUAUUUAACCAGGGAAAACCACAUUGAGACCCAGGUCUCAUUUGCAAAGGUGCCCUGGGAACAAUACAGAAAAGAAAAUUAUACACAACUUAAAACACAAAAUUAAAUAAAUAGCAAAUAUUACAGUAUAUACAUAAUAAACAAUCAAACAAAACAAACACAUUUAGAAAUAUAAAAAUCCCUUUCUCCUAAAGUGACCCAGAGACAACAACACAUCCAAAUGAAACAUUACUUGGAGAUUAUUCUAUUGGGGCCUGGUAGUGGAAUGUGGAGUUUCCAGCAUUAACCAACCCUGUGACCUAGUGUUGUAAUCCAAGUUUCUAUAUUUCAACAAUGAUGUUAAGUAAAUUGGUAGUUUAUUGAGUAAGGCUUUAUGAACAAAAACAGAAUAAUGAAGUGACCCAUGUGUUUUUUGCGAUGUCCAACCAACUUUAUGAUAAAGGAUGUGGCGGUGAGUGUCAACACCUUGUCAGCUGUUAUAAAAUUAAGUUUGUUAUGAUAACUUGUGUCCAAGGGCUUCAAAACACUGGUAGCUGUAUUCAUGUAUAUAAUAUUGCCACAAUCUAUAACAAUAAUAAAUGUAGACUGAAUGAUCUGUUUUCUACUAUUUAAUGAAAGGCAAGCCUUAUUCCUAUAGACGAAGCCCAAGUUAAUUAUUCAUUUCUUGACUAACUCGUCAACAUGCUUUUUAAAAGAUAGCUUUUCUUCAAUCCAGAUGGCCAGAUAUUUAUAGGCUGGGACACGAUCAAUGGGGCCACCAUCUACUUAUGCACAAAUCAUCAGUUACAUUAUUACAUGAUUUGAAAAAUAACCUGCACUUGGUUUUACCAGAAUUUAGUACUAACUUCAGGUCAGCCAAGGCUUUCUACAAGGUAGUAAAAGCAGAGUGAAGAGUCAACAGAGCCUGAGCUGCCGUAGGGGCGGUAAUGUAUAUAACAGUGUCAUCUGCGUACAGAUGAAAGUGACAGUUUGUACAGAUAGACCAAUGCUAUUAAUAUACUGAAAAAAACUGGACCAAGAAUCAAACCCUGUGGGACACCUUUUGUUAUGUCUAGAAAUCCUGAUAUAAUGCCAUCAGUAAGUACACACUGUGUUCUGUCUUUUAAAUCAUUCUCAAACCAGCUCCAAGCAGCCCGAUCUAAGCCAAUCGUAGAGAGUUUCCGAAUAAGUAAGGUGUGAUCCAAGCUGAGUAUUAAUCAAUGAUUCCAGGAUUUUUGCUAGGCAAGAGAGUUUGGAAAUGGGACAAUAAUUAUUUAGAUCACUCAGGUCGCCACCUUUAUGUAGAGGAAGCACAUGGGCCACCUUCCAAACUCUAGGAAUAGUACUCGAUAUAAUUGUCAAGCAAAAAAUAUGUGUUAAUGCUUCCGCAAUCAAUGGAGCAGAAAGCUGUAAUAAGAAGGGAUCAAGCAUAUCAGCCCCAGAAAAUUGUUUUACAUCAAUCAUAAGUAGUUGUUCCAAAACAUCAGAAGUAGACAGUUGCUCCAGAGAGUACAAGGAUUCACUGGGGGUUGUCUGGAGGUUGUCUUGUCUGGUAUCAAGUCAACUAGCGGCUGGGAGAGGGACAAGCAGUUUACUGACUGACCCAGGUCUAUUAAACCAAGAUUUCUUAAAAAAAAAAGAAAAACCUGCAGACAUAAAAUGUUGAUUAAAAGCAUGACCUAUCUAUUUUUUUCAAUAAUGAUGUCACAGUUCAGUAUAACUUACUUGGGUAGGGAAGGAGAGGAGAGGAAUUUACAUGCACUAGCACCUUAAAUGUUUUCCAAAAUGUAGAUGGAUCACCAGCAGAGUCAGCGAUAGAACUUAAGAAGUAGCUUGAUUUAGCAUUUUUUACUAAGGACGUGCAUUUAUUUUGUUGUUGCCUGAAAAGCUGCCAGUCCACAACAGCACCAGUUAGUCUAGCUUUGGCCCAGGCAUGAUUUCUUAUUCUAAAGAUAUCUGAGAGUUCUGUAGAAAACCAGGGAUUUUAUCUAUUUUUUGUCUAUAUCGUUUACAUGGAGCGUGUUUAUCUGCCAGAGAUAUAAAAAUAGAUGAGAAAUGCUCAAGAGCUAAUUCAGGGUCAGGAAUACACUUGAUGGACGAAAGUUCAGAAAAGUACAAGUCAUGCAUAAACGCUUGGGGAGAGAAGUUUAAAAUGUAUCUUCCUAAUAAUACGGGGAUUAGAAUGAUGCUGUCUAGUAUCUCUAAUACAUGCUAUAGGACAAUGGUCACUUGCAAACACACCAAAAUACAUGUACUUAUUGUCACGUCCUGGCCAGUAUAAAGGUUAAUUAGUAUUGUAGUUUGGUCAGGACGUGGCAGAGGGUAUUCGUUUUAUGUGGUUCGGGGUGGUGUGUUUUGUUGAAGGGGCAUUUGGUUUAAGUAUUCCGGGGUUUUUGGGCACUGUUUGGUUUUCUGGUAUUCUAUGUUUAGUCUAGUAUGUCUGGUUCUAUGUUUGGUUAAUUAGGGUUGGGACUCUCAGUUGAAGGCAGGUGUUGUCUAUCUGCCUUUGAUUGAGAGUCCCAUAUAUUAGGGUGUGUUUGUGUUUGUUAUUUGUGGGUGAUUAUUCUGUGUUGAGCCUUAUGCGUUGCCAGACUGUUUGUUGUUGUUUGUUCAUUCUAGUGUUUUGUUAUUUUGGUAUUCAUUUUGAAAAUAAAUAAACGUCAAGAUGAGCCUGCACUUA